rnacentral:rRNA from 1 species
GGUGCAAGCGUUAUCCGGAUUCACUGGGUUUAAAGGGUGCGUAGUUGGAGUGGUAAGUCAGUGGUGAAAUCUCCAAGCUUAACUUGGAAACUGCCGUUGAUACUAUCAUUCUUGAAUAUCGUGGAGGUAAGCGGAAUAUGUCAUGUAGCGGUGAAAUGCUUAGAUAUGACAUAGAACACCGAUUGCGAAGGCAGCUUGCUACACGAUCAUUGACACUGAGGCACGAAAGCGUGGGGAUCAAACAGG